rnacentral:lncRNA from 1 species
GGUGUGUGGUGGGAAAGACUGUAGCCUUGUUGACUUUGUGUUAAUCAUCACACCUGCUUAAGGAAGUACCAGAGAGACAGGCAGAUUUGCAGGCUAAUGAAAUGCAGGCCUAGAUGGAACAGAGCAAUAGAUCUGUCAAAUAUCUCUGCACAGACAGCAAGUGGUAUGGCUAGCAGCUGRUAUGAUUACCAGGGAACAUGUACUGAGGGAGGGUCAACAAUCAAAAGUGAAGCUCUGAGGUGGCCGCCGCUGUGGAUGAUAGAAAGGAGGAACAAUUAGGGAAGGAGGGGGAGAAUCAGAAAACAUCGAAGAAAAGCUAUGAAGAAAAGCRUGGUCAGCAGUAGCUGGCAGGUUGCAGUGGAAGAGGCUGGUUUAGAGCUACUCCUGAGCUGUGCUUUGAACCAGAUCACUAGACAUCCUGGACAGCAUCACAAUGGCCCAAAAUACAUUCCUCYGCACCCCAGCCCCCACCCAUCUUCUCCAAACCACAAAGGCAAGUGUUCAGUGAUGAUUUCUCAAUGUCUAUUUCUCUUUUUCAGUACUGGCRAAAAUGGCAUAAGUAAUCAUGACAAAGAAAAAUACAAUUGCUUAGUUACUAGUAUCGGUGCUUUAGUGAAAAGGACAUUUCGCCACAGUGUUGAUCCCAAUGGUUCAAAAAUACUAACCAAGUCUUUGAUAUAUCAGCCCCUGCUACAGUGGUACUGCGUGAGGCUAGGGGCUGAUAUGCUCAGCAGAAAUGCAUAUGCUGCAUCUCAGGCAGUUGGUUAAACUAAGACUUCAACUCCUUCCUGAAGAGACAUGUAGUGGAGAGGAACAUGACCAGCAGACCAUUCAGGAGAUAGCCUUGCCAGGUUUCUCCUAGGAUAUGCUGUCCUGGAGGAGAUGUCUGGAGGAGAUGUCUGGAGCCUCUAGACACAAUCAUUGGACAAUUCUGUAAACCUCCAAGAGGUUAGGUUCCCUGACUUCCAGUGUUUGCUCUGACUUUGCUCUUGGCUCUCUCUGCUUCCCCAUCUUCUUCAGCCUGCAGUUGGACUGCCCUCUCUUCUGCCUCCUUGCAUGCGUAGAAAGCUCCACUCUAAGGGAUGUACAGAUUCAGAGAAAAAAUGAAUGCUGCUUUGCCCACCUGCUGUUCCACGUGUUAGGGCUUUGCGCAGCAGGAGGGAGUGUGCUAGGCAGGGAGAUGCUGCCAGACUCUGCUCCCAACCCCUCACUGAGUCUUACAGAUGCUGAGUUUGCCCAGGUGGGUUUUCACGGUCUUUAGGAGUAGCACAUAAUGGAGUUACCACUCCUCUAGUCCCCAGUUUUGGACUUCUUUCUGCCCUGUGCUGUUCUUCUGUAUAUUUCUCUCCCAAAGGGUAUGUAUCUUCCUGCAUAUACAUUCUAAAAAUAAAAGAAAAUAAACAUAUGUCUUUGGCA